UUAUUGCUAACAAGCGAGGGGGGAGGAGGGGAAGGAGGAGGUGAAGCGGAAAGCAACGAGGCACAAGAGAACGAUUUCCCCUGUAGACGCUGUGCAGAUAAGACGUGUGUGCGCCAAGAAGUGUUGUAUACAACAACGAAGUCAUACCGGCCGCCCCCUAAACAUGGGACAAACAAGUCUCGGGGCUUCGUGCAAGAGAUGGAACACGUCUCGGCGCAUGUCUGGCACCGACGUCCCUACAUCUGCGCACUUCCAACUUGGUAGAAUCACAUCGGUUCCACCCGAGGAACUCCUUAGCCACACCGGUUGUCUAGAGAUCUGUACGCGCCCAAGCGUCUGAGAAGCCUCGGUAUCCUCAUCCGUGUCCAUGUGAUAGCAGUCCAUCUCCAGGUCGUCCGUCCUCUUCAGAAGAGGACGCACGCCGCGGAGGCGUGUGGUCCGGCACAGGCCGUUUUAACUCCUUCAUUGGAGGCGUCCUGCCACUACUUAAGGGAGAACCAAACCAUCGGCAUCGUGUCGUAACCUGCGGCAGGAAACUGGCUCCUCUAUCACUGGAGGACUCAGAUUCUCGCUGCAUCUUCCACGGAGGAACUGGACCCUGCCUGGCACCAGCUCUAACCUGACAACGUGGUGCUGGAGGGAAGAACGACUACCUCGCAUUA